CGUUAUGGAUGUCUGCCGGACGUACGUCCAGUCAACUAUCGGGGGACUCCGCUGUCUAGCCUUAGUUGGGGACAGGCCAGCAGGCAGCAACCACGCCUGACAGGACAGGGCCUCCGCAGCUGGCUCAUUUAGUGAGCAGAAAUGAAGUCAGUCUUCACUGAAAUUCCAUGCCGUAAUCGUCCCGUUCCUCGGAAGCCAAAGAAUUCAGACGGCAAAGCAGAUGAAUUUGUGUUGCUGAGUUAUGCCUGAAACCGGCCCGAGACAGAGAGGGGACAUCAGCACUUCAUCAGCACCACAAGAAAACUUUCUUUAAAAGAGUUUCAUCAAUGCUGGAUACGUCAUCAUGGGAUGUUAACCGGUGGACUGAAGUUAUGGACUUUAUAUGGGUAAUUUCUUGUAAUGAUAAAGCUGACA